ACGCUCGACACCUACUGGAGGCAGCAGUGGGGAAUAUUGCACAAUGGGGGAAACCCUGAUGCAGCGACGCCGCGUGAGUGAAGAAGUAUUUCGGUAUGUAAAGCUCUAUCAGCAGGGAAGAAAAUGACGGUACCUGACUAAGAAGCCCCGGCUAACUACGUGCCAACAGCCGCGUAAUCUGAGCGGGCGUGGCAAGGC
rnacentral:rRNA from 1 species